AGAACAAUGUAGGUAAGGGAAGUCAGCAAAAUAGAUCCGUAACUUCGGGAAAAGGAUUGGCUCUAAGGGUUUACUUGUAUUUUUCAGGUAGGGCCAAAAAAAAAAAUAUGUGGGUUUCCGGUUUCUUCUUAUAAAAACUUAGGUAGGGUAGGUCGGCUUUAACUUUUUUUUUUAAACUUUUUUUUUAAUUUUCCGAAUAAGCGGACGCCAUUUUGUUUAGUCAGUGCUUCCACAUCCAAAGAUAAAUUUCCUUAAUAUUGCCUCAAAUUUCAAUUU